UGACCCAGGAAACAGUUUUGGGGAUGGAAAUUGGGAAACAUGAGAAACUGAGUACGACAAUCUGGCAACGUUGUACAAUAAUCCCAGCCAUCAGCUGUUCAGUGUUUGUUUACCUCGCGCGGGGAGAGAGAUCCUCGUGCUCCCGGCCUUGUAGCGGUGCCGUGGCGGGGCGUGUAGGCGUUGACAUGUAAGCCCCGGUCGUCUACCCUCCGUGCCCUAUGGGGGUCCGUGGACGGGGCAGCACUCACGGUCAUCGGCACUGCCCAUACACUCAGUCCACCCUGGCGGGGACCUCACCAAUGACCUCCAUGAAAACAGGGUCCCAGACAAGCCAGUUGGUCUGAAGGCCGUGGCGCUGACUGACCACAUCAGGGUGUGCUGGCAGCCCCCCGCACAGCACAAUGUGCUGCUGUGCGGCUACACCAUUGCCUGGGACCAAGGCGUGGCGGACAUCUACUCCAAGAUCGUGGACAGCAAGCAGCACGGUUACUUCAUUGAUAAGCUGGAACCCAACAUGGAGUUUGUGAUAAGCCUGCGAGCCUUCAACAACGUGGGUGACGGGCAACCGGUGUACGUACCAGCAAGUCCACACCCAGCCAGAGGAGGAGGAGGUGGUGGCACCCACGCUGGACCCGGCGGUGUGGGUGAAGGCCGUGGUGCUGACGCCCUUCACCGUGGUGCUGCAGUGGGCAGACACCAUGCUGAGCCAGAACCAGUACAACAGCUGCACCACCUUCUCGUCCUCAUCCUCCAGCCGCUACGUCAACGCCACGGAUGUGACCUGCCUCAUUGACAGCCUCAAGCCAUCAACAGUGUGUGAGUUUGCUGUGAAGACCAUCAGGGUGAGACCACAGUGCUGGAAGCCUUCGUUCUUCUUUCAGUAAAUAUUCACUCAGUCCUGCAACACUUCUCAAGGAAAUCCUGCACAGCUGAAUCCUUGCUGUGAUGAGGCACAGAGAAAUUAUGACUCAUAGGCCUGGUGGCCUCCAACACCCUGCUGGUGGCCUGACCGUCCUGGCCCUCCCUGGCCAGCCGUCCACCACCACCUUCACCCGGCAGCCGCUGCAGCGGAACAAUGGGAGGAUCACAGGCUACGUGAUAUUCCUCACCACGGACCAAACUGUCGGUGACUGGGUGACGGGGGAAGUGACGGGGGACUGGCUCACCCUCACCGUCCAUGGACUGACGCCUUCAAGGAAGUAUUUGCACAAGAUGCACUCUCACAAUGUCAAAGGUUUUGGUCCAUUCUCCUCCGUGGAAAGCUUCACGACUUCCAGGCUGGUGUGUGGAGCGAGAGGCCUGAUUGUGCUGGUGAUCGCUGGCGUGGCAGGAGCCAUGACCAGCUGGGGGCCUUCUUGGCCACCACACUGUACUGCCGCGGGUCAAGGCGGAGCCCAGGCCAAGCAUUGUUGUUGGCGGCAGCUGCAGUGAGAGCAACAAGCCUGGCGUCCAGCCUCCAGACCUGUGGAUCCAUCACGGCCACUUGGAGCUGAAGAACUUUGACAAGGGUGAGCGCAGCAACUCCCCCAACCACGCCUCCAUCAUCCAGCACACAGGAGUCACGUCACAUCACAAUGGGACCGGAAAAGGACAAGAAGGGAGAAGACAAGAAGAAAAGGUCUUCUGCUGCUGCUGCUGCCUCUCCUGAUGAUGAUGAGCAACAAGAAGACACUCAAGAACAACCUGCCAAGAAAGUGAAGGGACGAUCCAAGAAGAGGUCAUCGUCUGCCACCGGGGAGACACCCCCUCCUCCAGCCCUCUUGCGUCACCAAUCCACUUGGACACAGAGCCCCAACCUGGUCAUGAUGAUGCUGGGGUGUGUCUUUUGCUCAAAAUCGGGAGCAAAUUCUUGGAGGAGAUUUGAAACUCGUAGUAGAUCCGGAGUUAUCGGUGUAGUUCGUCGUACAUUGUAGUACUUCGUACUUACAAAUCGGGACAGUUGGUGUGGUUCGUGAUACUUCGUAGUACUUCGGCUCCAAAACUCGGCGUACUUCGGGAGAAAAUCAGGGUGAAAUCAUAGUACAUCGUAGCAUAUUGUAGUACGUCGUAGCACUUCGGGAAAUAAUUCGGUGUACUUCGGGGAAUAUGCCCUCGAGGUCGACCGAACGCCUCGAGAUGAAAAGAUAAACAAAUUUUCGUAGUGAUUCGGGGAAAACGCUGUCUCCCGAGGUGCUACGAUUUUUUUGUGAUUCGGCGUCUGUGAGACCGGGGGGUAAGUGUGUUCUCUCAAAGUUUCCGGUAGUUUGGUCGCUGCUCUCUGUAUUCUUUCCAACUUUCUAAUUUCUUUCUUCAAUGUAGGUGACCACACUAACGCUACAUAUUCCAGUCUUGGACGUAUCACCGAUGUUAUUAGUUUCUUCACCGUCUCUUCGUCUAGAUAUGUAAAUACUGCUUUUAUGUUUCUAAGAAGAUUGUAUGUUUCCCCAGUUAUCCAAUUUAUAUGCUUCCCAAAGGAUAACUUGUCUGUUAUUGUCACUCCCAGAUCCUUAUUCUUCUGUUU